rnacentral:rRNA from 2 species
CAUUAUGAGAGUUUGAUCCUGGCUCAGGACGAACGCUGGCGGCGUGCCUAAUACAUGCAAGUCGAACGCUUUUUCUUUCACCGGAGCUUGCUCCAUCGAAAGAAAAAGAGUGGCGAACGGGUGAGUAACACGUGGGUAACCUGCCCAUCAGAAGGGGAUAACACUUGGAAACAGGUGCUAAUACCGUAUAACACUAUUUUCCGCAUGGAAGAAAGUUGAAAGGCGCUUUUGCGUCACUGAUGGAUGGACCCGCGGUGCAUUAGCUAGUUGGUGAGGUAACGGCUCACCAAGGCCACGAUGCAUAGCCGACCUGAGAGGGUGAUCGGCCACACUGGGACUGAGACACGGCCCAGACUCCUACGGGAGGCAGCAGUAGGGAAUCUUCGGCAAUGGACGAAAGUCUGACCGAGCAACGCCGCGUGAGUGAAGAAGGUUUUCGGAUCGUAAAACUCUGUUGUUAGAGAAGAACAAGGAUGAGAGUA